rnacentral:rRNA from 1 species
AUUGAACGCUGGCGGCAUGCCUUACACAUGCAAGUCGAACGGUAACAGGUCUUCGGAUGCUGACGAGUGGCGAACGGGUGAGUAAUACAUCGGAACGUGCCUGGUAGUGGGGGAUAACUACUCGAAAGAGUAGCUAAUACCGCAUGAGAUCUACGGAUGAAAGCAGGGGACCUUCGGGCCUUGUGCUACUAGAGCGGCUGAUGGCAGAUUAGGUAGUUGGUGGGGUAAAGGCUUACCAAGCCUGCGAUCUGUAGCUGGUCUGAGAGGACGACCAGCCACACUGGGACUGAGACACGGCCCAGACUCCUACGGGAGGCAGCAGUGGGGAAUUUUGGACAAUGGGCGAAAGCCUGAUCCAGCAAUGCCGCGUGCAGGAUGAAGGCCCUCGGGUUGUAAACUGCUUUUGUACGGAACGAAAAGCCUGGGGCUAAUAUCCCCGGGUCAUGACGGUACCGUAAGAAUAAGCACCGGCUAACUACGUGCCAGCCGCCGCCGUAAGAC